rnacentral:rRNA from 1 species
CCAGCUGUAAACGGUGCGCACUUGGUGUGGGGGGAAUUGACCCCCUCCGUGCCGGAGCUAACGCGUUAAGUGCGCCGCCUGGGGAGUACGGCCGCAAGGUUAAAACUCAAAGAAAUUGACGGGGGCCCGCACAAGCGGAGGAGCAUGUGGCUUAAUUCGAUGCAACGCGAAGAACCUUACCUGGGCUUGACAUGCAGCUGCACGCCCCGUGAAAGCGGGGUUCCUUCGAGGGUGCUGCACAGGUGCUGCAUGGCUGUCGUCAGUUCGUGCCGUGAGGUGUUGGGUUAAGUCCCGCAACGAACGCAACCCUUGUGUUUAGUUGCCACUCCCGGUGAUGAGCCGGGAAGCACUCUAAACAGACUGCCCGUACAAGCGG